CAAGGCGAAGAGAGAGUCGCUGUUUUGUAGUAGGUGUCCACUAGCGUUUGUGUCCGUGUGUAUCAUAAUGCAGCCCCUCGACAUUGAGCAGCAGCUCCGUCUUCGAGAUGCGAUGAAGACACAGCAUCAGGCAGCGGAAGCAGCUUCAUCGCUCUCGUACAUGCACGAGGAGUACUACGCGGCAGCUGGCGAUGCCAUCACCUUCUUUGGCGGCAUCUGCGCCGUCACGGGGGCAUUGUUUCUCGCGUCAGCGCUGCUGACCAAGACGAGGCUAGCGAAUACGGUGCGCCUAAGCUUUCAGCACAGCGGUGUGAGUCUCAUUCCGAAGUGUGCAAGCCCCCCACUCUUCUCCGUCUGCAUGGCGGCGUGGAUGGGACUCUUGGGGGUACAGUCUGUGUGCGAUGUGCUGCGGGAGGUCGCGCAGCAGCACUACCGCGCCGUCAAGGAGAAAAAUGUAUCGGCGCUGGCGGAUCUUUCCCUCCUUCACCGCAUCCAUGUGGGUACAGUGAACCCUCGUCCUCUCUGGGGUUUGUCCACGGAGAUCACCACACAGUACCCACCACUCAUGCAGUGGAUCAUGACACCGACGGCGCUGCUGUUCGCGGCGCAAUACGCGGGUAUGGUUUGCAUCUGGUGCUACAUGCUCUUCUGUGGUCAGCCACUCGAUGCUGGCUUGAUGGGUGCCCUUCUUACCUUCUUUCCAACUUUCUACGAUGCACUGCUGCUGAACGGCAACGAGCCAGAUCGCUGGCCGGUGUGGGUCACUCUUGCGAACUUUAUGAUCAGCCUUAUGUGCGUCUGGAGCUUCGGUGCGCCUCUGGUACGGCGCGAGUACCGCGAGGUGAUGAGGGAGCUGCAGGGACACACGGCAAAGGCGCUUUUCAAGGACCGACCGGAGAUGAGCAACAUGCGAGCCCGCGGUGGUGCUCGAGGUGGCAGCUCAUGUAAGAAAUCGAAGCAAAACUAACCCGUUCACGGACAGCGCACGACCCUGUCCCUCGCCUCCCCUGUUCUGUGCACCGCACACACACACACACACACACGCACACCUUCCUCGAGUUUUGCGCGCGGUUUGUCAUGGAAAAAAGCUACCCACGGUUGCCGCUCCUUUGCGGGGCAACCCUCCUCUCUCUUGGCGUGUGGCACUGAGUUUUUUUUUGCAUGUUGUGCGUCCAGUCGCUUAUCAAGCGUGCGUGUGCCUCUUCCCACCCACUCUCUGACCUCCUCCUC
rnacentral:misc_RNA from 1 species